CUGUUUUCAGAGAGAAAGAGAGAGAGACAGAGAUACCAGGUGGUACGGCACCACCACCGGAAACACCGCCAUCAUCUCCAAUCGCACCACCACCGCUAAUAUGUGUUUAAAAACUGUCUAGGGUUUGCAUGACGGAGCCUGAUGAUUCAAUUGUAAAGAAGCCUAAACAUGAUCAGUGGCCUCAGGAUGUAUGGUAGCCACUUCGAGCAGUGUCCGCCGCAUGUUCACAUCCGCUGGGAACUCGCUAAGACCCUUACGAUAAUCACCUCAUUAUAGGUUCGCUUUGAGGUUUAUAAGGACUGUCUUCCACUACCCGGGAGUUUAUUUAAGAUGGUUAUUGAGGAGGUUUCAUGAGGAAAAUACUAACAUGUUCAAGACUGAGUUAACUUUUGAUCAAUUGAGCCCCUCUCUGCAUUUGCUUUCUUUUUAUGUGAAACGUUUCUAUCAUUAGUUGUUAAACAAAUUUAGUGGGAAGGAAACCUUCUUCAGGGAGACGUUUGACAAAGACAUCACACAACUAAAGAAAGCAAGAGAUGAGCGGAGGCACAGAGAAGAUAAGGCUAAGAUAGAUAUAAAGAGGACAUAAUCAUCAAGAAGGGACAAGGAUAAUAAAGGUAUAAAUGAUAAAAGCGAAGGGAUUCUCACGGACAUAGCGCUUAACGUAAAAAGACAAAAUAGGUUAAUUCUUCUAUUUAUUUUCCAUAAUAAUGCGGUUAAAUAUGAUUACGAAAACUAUAUUAUUACCCCAAUAAUCUGAUUGAAACGAUUAAUGAAGUACAAAUUAUAAACUAGGGGUGCUCAUAAAUUGAUGAAACCAACCGCACCACCCAGACUGAAGCGAGUCAGCCGGUUUGAGAUUUAUGUGGUUUGGUUUUGGCAGUUUAUUGGUUCGGGGAUGGUUUUGGAACUCGGAACCAACCGUUUAGCCUUUUUUCCCUUCAAGUUUAAUAUAUGCAAUUAUGUAUAUGUAUUAUAUUCAUGAAUAAUCUUUAUUAUUUUAAGAUCUUCAUACAAAAUGACAAUUGUAAAGAAGCUUUCAAACCACCACAACUCGCCAACCCACCCAACUUCGGUGGUUUGGUUGUUUCUAAAAUCGUAUUUAGCGGAUUGGCCGCUACUUUUUGGUCAAAACCGGACUGUGAACACCCCUGCUAAAAGCACACUUUCGAUGACUUUCAAAGAUAAAACAACCCAAAUUAUCCCAUUUAUAUGCAAAUGGCUUAAAAGAAGCCUCUACGUACAGUAGUGUUCUUUUUUUCUGUGGUUUUUAGUUUGUUUAACAAAUGAUGGUGUAAUUUGCUGUGGUAUAGUUGGAGCAACAGUCAUCGGUGUUGGCAGAAUAUGAGAGCAGAAAUAAGAGACACAAGAGAGAUCACAGGCAUGAUGAUUAGAGAGUAGAUGAAAAUCAGACGUGAAGUUUUCCCUACAUAAUUGCUUUUUUGUAGAUAGUUUCAGCUUCUUAAUAUUGUUGCCUUUUGUAUAUAGAAUUUGCUUUUUGUGGCGAGUUUUUAAAAAGGUUAUUAAAUUAGUCAUAGGUAGCUGCAGUUAGGCUUGGCCAGAAUUAUGCGGCCACUUGCAAGGUAUUUAGUCUCUUUCAAAGUGAAUGGGGAAGACAUGUAAUGGGUGAAAACCACUUCGGUUUAAUUAGUUUGACCCGUUUCUUUUCAAUAAAAAGUUUCUUAAUUUUGUUCGUUUGACCCGUGUGGCAAUAUAAUACGCUCCAUGGUUCCAUAUUCACAUAACUUGGCGGAAACUGGGCUUUCUAAAUAAGGAAAUUCACAUAAGUUAUGUGAAACCAUAGUUUCCGCCAAGUUAUGUGAACAUUGAGUUUUAUUGAUUAUGGUGGAUUAAAGGUUUCAUAGAUUUGCAACAUUGAUGCUGCAUCAAGAUUUGAAUUUUGUAAAGAAGGGGUCUGCUAAAGACUAAAGAGAUAGGCUGCAUUUCAUCCCAUCGCGCAAACCGCUGGCCUUGGUGAGAAAGCAUAAGAAAUUUUUGAAGAAUCGGUUUCUCCUAUCUUAGAGGCUUGAGAUCCUGUUCUGAAGCAUCAAAGACAACAUCAGUAUAUCUACGCUUACUGAUGUCACCGUUUCAGCUUACAAUUUAGUUGUUAUGAGUUUGUCCCUUUUAAAUCUUUUUAAGAGAUGAUGUAUUGAUAUUGAAGUAAUAGCGAUACUCAUUGUUAGAUGAUGAUCAACGUGUAUGCAGUAUUGAUUUCACUUUUGGGUUAAAUCACAGGUGGCACCUUCCAUUGUUAAAUGAUCUUCACAAUGUGUAAAAUGAACAAUUGUGUUCUGUUGCAUCUUUAUUUGCUUAUUGUUUGUUUGUCUAAAUUGCUAUUAUAUUUACCGUCUUGCAUAGAUAACUUGCCAAGGUUUGUCUAGUUAAUU
rnacentral:lncRNA from 1 species